rnacentral:misc_RNA from 1 species
AAGUCGUAACAAGGUCUCCGUAGGUGAACCUGCGGAGGGAUCAUUACGAGUCUUUCGACGUUGACGAUUUUCAUGUGUCUGCGGCUCCGCAAGGGUAAGACCGCACCAUUACAAUUUCUGAAUCAAGUCUUAUAUACAAAACUUUCAGCAAUGGAUCUCUUGGCUCUG